rnacentral:rRNA from 1 species
GGAUAACCCGCGGAAACGCGGCCUAAUACCCCGUGACGCCACCGGAGGGCAUCCUCCGGUGGCCAAAGGAGCGAUCCGGUGGCGGAUGGGCAUGCGGCGCAUUAGCUAGACGGCGGGGUGACGGCCCACCGUGGCGACGAUGCGUAGGGGUUCUGAGAGGAAGGCCCCCCACACUGGGACUGAGACACGGCCCAGACUCCUACGGGAGGCAGCAGUGAGGAAUAUUGGUCAAUGGGCGGAAGCCUGAACCAGCCAAGUCGCGUGAGGGAUUAAGGCCCUGCGGGUCGUAAACCUCUUUUGCCGGGGAGCAGUGGUCCGGACGCGUCCGGACCGGGAGAGUACCCGGAGAAAAAGCAUCGGCUAACUCCGUGCCAGCAGCCGCGGUAAUACGGAGGAUGCAAGCGUUAUCCGGAUUUAUUGGGUCUAAAGGGUGCGUAGGCGGGCAUUUAAGCCGGCGGUCAAAUGUCGGGGCUCAACCCCGGCCUGCCGUCGGAACUGGGUGCCUCGAGUGGGCGAGAAGUAUGCGGAAUGCGUGGUGUAGCGGUGAAAUGCAUAGAUAUCACGCAGAACCCCGAUUGCGAAGGCAGCAUACCGGCGCCCUACUGACGCUGAGGCACGAAAGUGCGGGUAUCGAACAGGAUUAGAUACCCUGGUAGUCCGCACAGUAAACGAUGGAUGCUAUCUGUCCGGGCCGAAUGAGGCCUGGGU